rnacentral:lncRNA from 13 species
AACAUCACCCGAUUGUACAGACAGGUGAGGCACUUGGUUAUGGCGCGCAUGCCUGACAAACACACGUUGGCAUUGAACUCUCCACGUCUUUCUUGAGUAAUAAGGUGUUAAGCUCAAUCCAGCAGCAGAGCUAUGUACAGAGAGACCUGCAUUCCCCUCCUCUGUUUGCCGGGGAAUCUAUCAACCCUAAUUUUUCUUCUUUUUCUCUUUCCAGAUUUUUCUCCAUCUUCCUGGCACUUUUUCAUUUGCAGCCUCGUUCACCCGUUGUGGUGGUUUAAAAACAUAUUUACACAUUUUGAGAUUCUCUUGUUUCAAGAGGUAGAGCUUAAUUUCCCUCUCCUUGAAUGUGGGAUGGACUUGUUUCUAGCAAAAUAAAAAGGAAUGAUUGUGUCUGACUUUGGAGAUAAGUCAUAAAAGCUUCAUCAGCUUCCUGCUCGAUCUCUCUCUCUGUUGCCCUAUGGAAAGACUCACCUGCCAAUCAACUGAAGCCUCCAGCCUCCAGCCCUGUGAAUUAGCUCCUUGGACACACAGGAGCAGCAGAAAUGGAGUUACAAAAUCAGAAACAGGAGGGACUCACAAAGCUGAAUCAUACUACUUCUUGGCAUCCUUGCUUGUCACAUUGGGGAUUAUUGGCAAAACCCCACAAGACAAUGAAUAUGCAACAUUCAACUAUUUAACUCAUAUGGCAUGCAGUUCUUUAGGAUGUCACCUGGCACACAGAGAAUCAGGAAGCCCAGAAAGUGCUUCUAUCUUCAGUCCAAAGAUUUGAUGUCAAAUGGAUCUGCUGCCAUUUCUGUAACAAUGUUCGUAUCUAAUAUCCUACACUCACAGAAAAACAAUUCAAGAAUAGUUAGCCAUGUACAUCAUCAGUUCUUUCCCUGACCUGGGUAAUUUUAAUUUUUUUCAUAGGUUUUGCUUUCUGAUUUGUUUUAUUUGGAUUUGUUUAAAAAUCUAAGGUCACUUUUUCUAAAUGAGAAAACUAUGUAGGAUAUAAAGUUUUCCUGAAUAAUCAUUAAACAAUUACUAUUGUGUUUAAAUAAUUAUCAGAAACCAGGUUAAGAAAAAAUAAAAUCUUUAAGAAGUCCA